GUGGGAAGAGCUCAAAUUUAAAAUCUGGCAGCUCUGCUGUCCGAGUUGUAAUCUGUAGAAGCAUUUUCUAGCAUUGGACUGUGUACAAGUCUCUUGGAAUAGAGCGUCAUAGAGGGUGAGAAUCCCGUCCAUGACACAGACUACCAAUGCUUUGUGAUAUGCUCUCAAAGAGUCGAGUUGUUUGGGAAUGCAGCUCAAAAUGGGUGGUAAAUUCCAUCUAAAGCUAAAUACAGGCAAGAGACCGAUAGUGAACAAGUACCGUGAGGGAAAGAUGAAAAGCACUUUGGAAAGAGAGUUAAACAGUACGUGAAAUUGUUGAAAGGGAAACGCUUGAAGUCAGUCACAUUCUGCAGAACUCAGCCUUGCCUAUUAGGCCUGGUGUAUUUCCUGCAGGAUGGGUCAACAUCAAUUUUAGUCAAUGGAUAAAGGAGGAGGGAAUGUGGCACCUGUGAAGGUGUGUUAUAGCCCUCUUUCAUAUACAUUGACUGGGAUUGAGGACUGCAGCAUGCCCUUGUGGCCAGGCUUUCAUGUCACAUGCUUAGGAUGUUGACAAAAUGGCUUUAAGCGACCCGUCUUGAAACACGGACCAAGGAGUCUAACAUGCCUGCAAGUGUUUGGGUGGAAAACCCUUGCGCACAAUGAAAGUGAAAGUUGGGAACCCUUGGUGGUGCACUGACACCCGGCCCUGAUGUUUACUGACGGUGCUGCGGUAGAGCAUGUAUGUUUGGGACCC
rnacentral:rRNA from 1 species